rnacentral:piRNA from 1 species
UNCAAUGCAUUCGACAGUCAGCCGCCUC